GAUGAACGCUAGCGGGAGGCUUAACACAUGCAAGUCGAGGGGCAGCAUAGGGUAGCAAUACUCUGAUGGCGACCGGCAAACGGGUGAGUAACGCGUAUGCAACCUACCCUGUACAGGGGGAUAACCCGGAGAAAUUCGGACUAAUAUCCCGUAAUAAUAUCCGGAGGCAUCUUUGGAUAUUUAAAGUUCCGACGGUACGGGAUGGGCAUGCGUAACAUUAGCUGGUUGGUAAGGUAACGGCUUACCAAGGCUAUGAUGUUUAGGGGUCCUGAGAGGGUGGUCCCCCACACUGGUACUGAGACACGGACCAGACUCCUACGGGAGGCAGCAGUGAGGAAUAUUGGUCAAUGGGCGCAAGCCUGAACCAGCCAUCCCGCGUGCAGGAAGACGGCCCUACGGGUUGUAAACUGCUUUUCCAGGGAGAGAAACUUACGCACGUGUUGCGUGACUGACGGUACCCUGGGAAUAAGCAUCGGCUAACUCCGUG
rnacentral:rRNA from 1 species